AAUAUUGGACAAUGGGGGCAACCCUGAUCCAGCCAUGCCGCGUGUGUGAAGAAGGUCUUCGGAUUGUAAAGCACUUUAAGUUGGGAGGAAGGGUUGUGGAUUAAUACUCUACAAUUUUGACGUUACCGACAGAAUAAGCACCGGCUAACUCUGUGCCAGCAGCCGCGGUAAUACAGAGGGUGCAAGCGUUAAUCGGAAUUACGGGGCGUAAAGCGCGCGUAGGUGGUUCAGUAAGAUGGAAGUGAAAUCCCCGGGCUUAACCUGGGAACUGCUUUCAUAACUGCUGAGCUAGAGUACGGUAGAGGGUAGUGGAAUUUCCUGUGUAGCGGUGAAAUGCGUAGAUAUAGGAAGGAACACCAGUGGCGAAGGCGACUACCUGGACUGAUACUGACACUGAGGUGCGUAAGCGUGGGGAGCAAACAGG
rnacentral:rRNA from 1 species